GUUUAUAUAGUUUAAUAAAACACUACAUUUUCAGUGUAGAGUUAGAAACCUUUUCUUAUAAAUA
rnacentral:tRNA from 1 species